UGGAGAUAAUAUCAGUGACUAUGAUAUGCUUGAAAAAAGGUUUACAACGUUUCAUGCCUCCAAUAUGGUCUUACAACAGCAGUACCGAGAGAAAGGCUCCACAAAGUACUCUCAGUUGAUUUCUCUUCUACUUGUGGCUGAACGAAACAAUGAAUUUGACAUCACCCACUUGGAUGUGGCAGAUUUUUUUGAGCACCCUAAUGAAAAAAUUGUUACACCUUGUGUAUUCGGCGUUAUCAUGCUGUAAAUAGGCUAAUUCGAUAGGAAGAUAAUUUUUAUGAGAUAUUUAAAUGAUGCGAUAGUUAUACGUUAAGAUUGGAAGUCAUUUGAGUUGUGAUUAAAAAUUCGACAAAGAUCGCCGCAAGUUACGGGUUUAAAUUUCACUGGAAUUUGGAUAAAAUGUUGAUGAGCUUUUCUCUCAAUAUACUAGGAGUUAUGGUCUGUUCUACCUGCCGAAUCGAAUGUCUAUGAGUCUAGUUUCCAACGCAACAAACCAUUCGUUAAUACAACUUCGGAGUAGAGAGAUAUUAACCUUUUCGUACAUGGGUGCACACUAUUACGGGAACAGUGUGCUUAGUCGGGUUUAGUUAAAAAAAAAUUAUUUAAGUCAUUCUUUAAAACUGAAACCCCUGCGUUUUAUCCUCUCCAAAACAGAACCUAACACCUAGGGAUUUCCUCUCAAACUCCUCCCAUCCAUCUAGCCAAUGAUAACAACAAUUUAGUCAUCCUCAAGAUGGAAAACACCAUGGUAACUUCGGAAUCGUGAAUUCUUCAAUGUUUCACUUUUCAUAGCAAGACUCCGCCUUGAAGUAAUUUCGAAUUUUGAGUAAUUCUGGUCACAUAAGGAAAUCAUUCCUAAGGCUUUCGAGGUCUCGGAAACAGUAUAUAACUCCAUCGACAAGGUUCGGAUAGACAGAGCGGCGUGCCUUCUCAGUAGGACCCCCAGG